rnacentral:rRNA from 1 species
AGAAUUAUUGAAGAACGAUGAGGGCCGGAGACAUUGUUUCUCUUUUCCAUAGAGAAGCUAUUAAAAUAGGGAAGAAGAAGAAGAAGGUAGGGAAUAUGCUUGAUAUGGCUGAAGAGCAAACCAGAGAACUUGUGUGUAUGCGGUUGUGAUUUAAGAGCAAACUCAUGAACCAACAGUGUCUAUGUCGAAUGUGACCAUAGAGCAAAAGCAUAGGCCAGAAACAUAGUCUUUUUAAACUUCUCAAGGUAUGUACUAUGGUCCAUGUAGUAUUUACUAUGUAGGCUUCUUUAUAAAAAGCUAAGAUUUAAUUGAGAAUUUUAGUGUGUUCG